UGGUGGUCCUCGUCAAACGGCUCUGUUGUUGUUGUGGGAGCUCAACUGAGGAGAUUUGAUUUACAAGACGAAGAAAUAAACCAUGAAUAUGACAAAAUACUUUACUAGAAAAGACGGAUUUGUAACAGUAAACAGUUCAGUUAGAGGAGGAAAAUCCCGAGCAUCUAAAACAUCUUUACCUGACUGAAAAGAAACGAUUAGAUGAAGAAGAACAGGAGAGAAAGAAGAAGAGAUGGAAAGAGAGAGCAGUGGAUGAAGAGGAGAAACUCAAACACAACACCUGACAUCUCUGCUCCCAGCUUUAUUGAAUGAACACACAGAAGAUAAUGAGAAGAUAAAGGAGGAGCUGAGAGGAUAAA